UACGUAGGGGGCAAGCGUUGUCCGGAUUUAUUGGGCGUAAAGAGCGUGUAGGCGGCCAUGCAGGUCCGUUGUGAAAACUCGAGGCUACAACCUCGAGACGCCGGUGGAAACCGUAUGGUUAGAGUCCGGAAGAGGAGAGUGGAAUUCCUGGUGUAGCGGUGAAAUGCGCAGAUAUCAGGAGGAACACCGAUGGCGAAGGCAGCUCGCUGGGACGGUACUGACGCUGAGCGACGAAGCGUGGGGAGCAACAGG
rnacentral:rRNA from 1 species